UGUAUCAUAUAACUUGAGGAACCAAAAGCUUCCUUUUCUGAUCAAGCCCUAGUUUUCUCUCAUUGGUAUUGGAUGUGUUAGGUUGUGCCGAAAUCCCACUCCUCCGCCGCCGAUUCUCCUUGUCCUUCUUUCUUGUAUGCAGGCCGUCUUUUUUCCAAGGAAUCUGUUCCACCCGGUUACCAAGCUGGGGAUCAAUCCCAACUAUCUGCAGCCGAGCACGUCAACAAGAAAAUGACUAAAAUCUGCUCAGUUUCCACAGACGCUCAAAUAGACGAAUAACUCUGGCAUCCCGGAAGCUUAUAGCGCAAAGGCAAACCUUCUUGUCAGCCCGUCGCCAUAGUCGUUGUCUCCAUCGAUCCCCUUCAUCCCAAGGAUUCCUCUUCUCCCCAGAUUUUCGAGCUUGUGCACAAAUAGUUUCAUUAUGUCUGGACUUAUUGGGUCAUCCAAAAGGGCUAAAAAAAGCCAAGCAAUUGAACGUCAAGCGAUUGAGGCUUCACUAGAGCGUACACCUUCAGGACUAUGCAUUUUUUAUGGGGAUUCAAACUCUUCACAAACACCUACUUCUCAAGUCCCUAACAAUGAGAACCGAGCAACAGGCGGUACUAGAAAAAGAGGUAGGGGGGAGUCUACAUUAGCUGGUAUUAUAGGUUCAAAAGAUAAGAAGCCUCGUGUGGAGUUUGACGAGUUUGGGGAGACAAUUGGGGAUGUUGGGACAAAGUACAGUUCAACCCUUCCAAUAUUAGCACGUGGGAUGGUGCCCAUAACAAUUGAAAAAUGGAACCAACUGCCAGAAACUUUGCUAAAAGAGCUAUGGGAUGCCGUUCAGUUACUAUUUGAUGUUGACAAUAGUGCGUCCUAUGAUGCAUUUAAAAAGAUGGGAAAUGUCUGGUGCUCCAAAAAGUCCGAACUAACAAAAAAGGUGCUGGAGGUGAGAAAUAAUCCACGAAAAAUACAACUCCUGAAGCCCGGAAAUGUACCCACAAUGGAGGAGUGGUUAAGAUUUGUUUAGCAACGUUUAUCAGAAGAUCAUGCUAAGGUUAGACAGCAGAUGCAAGAAUUGUAGGCUAAGAAUACAACCCCACACAAAAUGAGCCGAAAAGGCUAUGCUGGAACGGAGAGAGAAUUGAAAGAAAAUUCGAACACGCCCGACACCAUUUCAAGAGUAGACGUGUGGAUUAAAGGGCACACAAGGAAGAAUGGAACUUAUUUAAAUGACGGUCAAGGAGAAAGUGGAAAGAAUGCGAGAAUUUACCGAGACUACUGAGAGUUCAGAAAUUACAAAUGAUGCACUCACAGCAAUACUUGGUGAUUCACAUCGAGGAAGAGUGAGAGGGUAUGGGUUUGGAGUAACAGUGACAAAAUUAAAAUUCCAGAAUGGUGCUUCCAGAAAAUAUGAGAAGACGAUUGAUGAAAUGCAACAAAAAUUGCAAAGGCAAGAGCAAAGGCAAGAGGAAAUGCUAAAACAAAUGCAAGUGUUUCAAUCCAUGUUUGCACAUAUUGCUAACAACCAGUCUUUUCCCAAUGCUCCACCUCAAGUCUCACCUACAACAAAUAUGGCCAGGAAGAGGUCAUGCUACUCUUGGUUUCGAUUGUUGGCAAGUGUCGAUCAAUGAAGUCUUUGAUAACGAUUUAUCCUUGUAUAGGGCUCAGCCUCCGUAUAAGGAUUUAAAAGUUGUUAUUGGAUAUAAAACUGCAUGGCCUAUCAAGUUUAUCAAAUUUGAAAUUUGGAGCAGACCAUACUAGUGCAGUGGACUGGUGGGCCCUUUAUAUCUUGCUUUUGGGAAAAAUGUAAUGGCUGGAUUUAGUUUCUUUCUACGCCUUGACAGUGAAUGAAGAUGGUUUGACAAGCUUGGCGGUGCUACUUCUUUUUGCAAUAUUUUGUUAGCAUUUGGUUUUUUUUUUUUAGCAAUGAUGGAGACUUUGUACUCCAAAUCAUUCAAUGAAUGUUUUGGAUUAAUUAUUGGCGAUUGUUGUUUUUUUUUUUUAACAAUGAUGGAAACUUUGUACUUCAAAUUAUUUAAUGAAUGUUUAGGAUGAAUUUUUGGUGAUAGUUGUA